UCCUUUCACAAACUACCUUUUUCCCUCUUUGAAAAUAAGAUCACAUCAAGUCAAGAAUUAAAAAUGGGAAAAAUUCAGUCAGAGCCUCCCUCUGCCAGCUCCACAUCUCAAUGCACUCCCAGGCGAGCAGAAUCAGCUCCUACUACAACCCAGCUCAGCAUCAUCAUUCAAAACGCACCGGAGCCUCAAGCCCACAGGCCCCUAGACCACAGACCAGCACCUGGGGUGACCCCUGAUGGACGUGCAGCUCCAAGUGAGACCAUGUCCCUGGAUGCACAGAGCUUGGUCCAGGCUCCUGGAUGCCUCUACCUCUCCUGAGAUACAGCCUGGGCAGCAGAAACAGUUGUGGAGUUGGACAGACCUCCCUAGACCAGGUUUAAGAACACAUCCUCUGGCUUUGCAGGAAGAUCUGCAGAUCCCACAGAAUAGCUGGAAAAGGAGGGCCCUACGUGGCAGUCCCUGGGAUGAGAAAACCAUGUGUCAAAGCUGUUGCUGAAUCCCUCACUCUAUUUUUACCUCCCUGACACUGCCCCUUUGAGCCCCGAGGAGGGAGCCUGGCCUGAGGUGGCCUGAGCUGGCGUCUCUGAGGCAGAUGUGGCCAGCCCUCACCUCGCUCUCCAGAAACCACCAGAAAGAUGGUUAUUCACUUCUCUUGACCAGAAAUAAAUGCAUUAGACAAUGUUCUCAGGCAAUCUUGAGGGAUGUAAACACAGAAUUACCCUAUAAAUUACUUGUUUCAUUUCCUCAGUUCAAAGUUGGGUUUUUUGUUCGCAUUAGUUACAUUAAAAUUGGACCGUAAUUAAUGUUCUUAAAAUAGAAUGUCCAUAUUCCCAAGUUUAGAAAGAAAAACCACCUAGGAAUGAAAAAAUGUGGACACAUGUGAAAUGCCAUUCCAUUAGCCACAGGAUCUUUUAUGAGCCUCAGUGGGGAGCGCCUGUCAAGUGGGGUUUGUGGCGGAGCACACCAUGGCGGCCCGUGUCUGCGGUCACUUUCCAUUCCCUUCCCUGCUCCAGGUCAAGGAAGCCUUUGACAUCCGUGGCCAGGAGCUCUGCUGG